ACGGGUGAGUAACACGUUGGAACCUGCCCCAAAGUGAGGAAUAAGCCACCGAAAGGUGGUCUAAUACUUCAUAAUAUCCAUCUCGUAUGGAUUAAAGCUUUAUGCGCUUUGGGAGGGGCCUGCGUAACAUUAGCUAGUUGGUGAGGGUAAAAAGCACACCAAGGCUUCGAUGUUUAACUGGUUUUGAGAGGAUGACCAGUCACACUGGGACUGAGAUACGGCCCAGACUCCUACGGGAGGCAGCAGUAAGGAAUCUUCCACAAUGGGGGCAACCCUGAUGGAGCAAUACCGCGUGCAGGAUGAAGCGUUUCGGCGUGUAAACUGCUUUUAUCACCGAAGAUUAUGACUGUAGGUGAAGAAUAAGGACCGGCUAACUACGUG
rnacentral:rRNA from 1 species